rnacentral:rRNA from 1 species
GAUGAACGCUGGCGGCGUGCUUAACACAUGCAAGUCGAACGAUGAAGCCCAGCUUGCUGGGUGGAUUAGUGGCGAACGGGUGAGUAACACGUGAGUAACCUGCCCUUGACUCUGGGAUAAGCCUGGGAAACUGGGUCUAAUACUGGAUAUGACUUCUCAUCGCAUGGUGGGGGGUGGAAAGAUUUAUUGGUCUUGGAUGGACUCGCGGCCUAUCAGCUUGUUGGUGAGGUAAUGGCUCACCAAGGCGACGACGGGUAGCCGGCCUGAGAGGGUGACCGGCCACACUGGGACUGUGACACGGCCCAGACUCCUACGGGAGGCAGCAGUGGGGAAUAUUGCACAAUGGGCGCAAGCCUGAUGCAGCGACGCCGCGUGAGGGAUGACGGCCUUCGGGUUGUAAACCUCUUUCAGUAGGGAAGAAGCGAGAGUGACGGUACCUGCAGAAGAAGCGCCGGCUAACUACGUG